AUACGUAGGGGGCGAGCGUUGUCCGGAAUGAUUGGGCGUAAAGGGCGCGUAGGCGGCCUGUUAAGUCUGGAGUGAACGUCCUGUUUUCAAGAUGGGAAUUGCUUUGGAUACUGAUGGGCUUGAGUGCAGGAGAGGUUAUCGGAAUUCCCGGUGUAGCGGUGAAAUGCGUAGAGAUCGGGAGGAACACCAGUGGAGAAGGCGGGUAACUGGACUGCAACUGACGCUGAGGCGCGAAAGUGUGGGGAGCAAACAGGAUUAGAUACCCUGGUAGUCCACACUGUAAACGGUGAAUGCUAGGUGUAAGAGGUAUCGACCCCUUUUGUGCCGGAGUUAACACAAUAAGCAUUCCGCCUGGGGAGUACGGCCGCAAGGUUGAAACUCAAAUGAAUUGGCGGGG
rnacentral:rRNA from 1 species